UACGUAGGGUGCAAGCGUUGUCCGGAAUUAUUGGGCGUAAAGGGCUCGCAGGCGGUCCAUCACGUCGGGAGUGAAAAGCUGGGGCUUAACCCCAGUCCUGCUUCCGAUACGGGUGGACUAGAGGUAGGCAGGGGAGAACGGAAUUCCUGGUGUAGCGGUGAAAUGCGCAGAUAUCAGGAGGAACACCGGUGGCGAAGGCGGUUCUCUGGGCCUUACCUGACGCUGAGGCACGAAAGCGUGGGGAGCAAACAGG
rnacentral:rRNA from 1 species